GCCCGGGUAGCUCAAUUGGAUAGAGCAGUGGCAUCCUAAGCCGAAGGUUGGGAGUUCAAGUCUUCCCUCGGGCG
rnacentral:tRNA from 1 species